rnacentral:rRNA from 1 species
CAUUAAGUGUACCGCCUGGGGAGUACGGUCGCAAGAUUAAAACUCAAAGGAAUAGACGGGGACCCGCACAAGCGGUGGAGCAUGUGGUUUAAUUCGAAGAUACGCGAAGAACCUUACCUGGGCUUGAUAUCCUAAGAACCUUAUAGAGAUAUGAGGGUGCUAGCUUGCUAGAACUUAGAGACAGGUGCUGCACGGCUGUCGUCAGCUCGUGUCGUGAGAUGUUGGGUUAAGUCCCGCAACGAGCGCAACCCACGUAUUUAGUUGCUAACGGUUCGGCCGAGCACUCUAAAUAGACUGCCUUCGUAAGGAGGAGGAAGGUGUGGACGACGUCAAGUCAUCAUGGCCCUUAUGCCCAGGGCGACACACGUGCUACAAUGGCAUAUACAAUGAGACGCAAUACCGCGAGGUGGAGCAAAUCUAUAAAAUAUGUCCCAGUUCGGAUUGUUCUCUGCAACUCGAGAGCAUGAAGCCGGAAUCGCUAGUAAUCGUAGAUCAGCCAUGCUACGGUGAAUACGUUCCCGGGUCUUGUACUCACCGCCCGUCACACCAUGGGAGUUGAUUUCACUCGAAGCCGGAAUACUAAACUAGUUACCGUCCACAGUGGAAUCAGCGACUGGGGUGAAGUCGUAACAAGGUAACCGUAGGAGAACCUGCGGUUGGAUCACCUCCUUUCUA